CUGAUGUCCAGAAGAGGGGGCGGUGCCAGCCGCCAUAUUGGGACUCCCUUUUCGAGGGGUUAGAAAAUGGCAGCCGGUGUUUCUCAUCAAAUCAGCUGAACAGCCAGGUCCUGGAAGGUAAGUAACACAGCCAGGUCCUGGAAGGUAAGUAAUACAGCAACACAGCCAGGUCCUGGAAGGUAAGUAAUACAGCAACACAGCCAGGUCCUGGAAGGUAAGUAAUACAGCAACACAGCCAGGUCCUGGAAGGUAGUAGCACAGCAACACAGCCAGGUCCUGGAAGGUAAGUAACACA